rnacentral:rRNA from 1 species
UACGUAGGGGCCGAGCGUUGUCCGGAGUUACUGGGCGUAAAGCGCGCGCAGGCGGCUCGUCAAGCCUGACGUGAAAGCCCCCGGCUCAACCCGGGGAGGGUCGUCGGGGACUGGCGGGCUUGAGGUCGGCAGGGGUUGGUGGAAUUCCCGGUGUAGUGGUGAAAUGCGCAGAUAUCAGGAGGAACACCGGUGGCGAAGGCGGCAUCCUGGACCGACAUUGACGCUGAGGAGCGAAAGCUAGGGGAGCAAACGGG